CAUCUUUUCUUUAUUGUCCUUCUUUCCUCCCUUUUCUUUUUUUCUUUCCUUUCUCUCUUUUCUCCCCCUCCCGCAGCGGCCAUGGCGGAGCGGAGCGCGGUGCCGGUACCGGGCCGCUGCCGGGGGCGGUGGAGCAGCGCCCGGCGGAGCCCGCAGGCUCUCCCUGGAUCACCAGCUCCCCCAGUUUGUCCGCAGCGUGGUACUGGUUGCCCAUCAGCCAGACAGUGGGCACGGACUGGGCAGCCUUGCACAGAUUUUCCUUCGAAGGGAAUUCAAUGGGAGUUGCCCUACGGUCAGACUUGGGCAGCUAGAGAAAUUUCCCUGGGAUUUUAAUGAUCCCUUCCAUCAACAAAACUCACCUCUGACAUGACAGAUCUUGCACUGCCAUAAAUCAUUCUCCUUAACUACCUUUUCCCCCUGUUCAAAAGCUUUUUCUAAAUGAAAUUAUCUAUUCUGUUAUUGAUGUCAUUUGGGGAAUACAAUCUUUACCCACCAUUUUGUUAGAGACAUUAAUAUAACAUCCAGAGCAAGCGAUAACAUACCCUUCAGGAAGGGGUUGUUAUGCACCACACCGUGCAAAAGAGCAGUCGCAAAUGGGACUGACUUUGGUAUUGGAGAUUGGAACAGACUCUUCCUGCUCAUUUCAGGGAAAGUCAGGAGUAAGUUUAUGCCCUUGCCAGGAGUGACACGCUGCAGAACCGCAGUGGAAAGAGAACAAAAUCCCAGGGGUUGGCUGCUAACGUCAGUGAUACUGGUGCAAAUGAGAGCAGCCUCCUGCCCAGGCGGUUUCUUCCAGGAGCGUGGGAUCCUGGUGAGUCAAUGAGAUGGGCAGAGAGGCAUGCCCUCAUUAGCCCCUAAUGAGAAGGCAAGGAAAGUAACCUUCCUUUUUAAGCCAGGACCUUACCCUGGACAUCCCUCAUAGUUCACCUUCCCCAGCUUGCUUCCAUUUUUUUAGCUCUAUGGCCCUUUCGUCCCCGUCGCCGCCCCUUGCUCUGUGCUCCCGCAGAGCCCCGGCACCCAGAGCCGCUCUUCCCCCCCAGCUGCCACCAAAGCUGGAAGAAAACCCUGCCUGGUUGUGCAUGCACAGAUAAAUCUCUUCUUCCAUGUAUUUUGUCUGCUGGGGAGGAGUGGUACCUGCACACUGUAGGUGCUUAACUGCAGCGCCCGCCGUGGGCUGUAAUUUGGCCUAAUCGGGCACUUCCUCCCAUUUCUGGUAGGAGGGUUAUUUGUAUAACAGAAAUGCAAUCUCUGGCGUAUUUUUCAUGUGCGUGGUGAAAAGUAACUGAGCCUGCUUGUUCUUCUGUGGGGCUUCAAACUUUUUCUAUGAGCAAUAACUGUAUUGAAGACAAUAAAUGUUUUCCAUACCUGUAGUUGUUGUUAAUAAAAUCUUCACUCCAGUAAC